rnacentral:rRNA from 1 species
CCUACGGGAGGCUGCAGUGAGGAAUAUUGGUCAAUGGGCGAGAGCCUGAACCAGCCAAGUCGCGUGAAGGAUGAAGGAUCUAUGGUUUUUAAACUUCUUUUAUAUGGGAAUAAAGUGAGGAACGUGUUCCAUUUUGUAUGUACCAUAUGAAUAAGCAUCGGCUAACUCCGUGCCAGCAGCCGCGGUAAUACGGAGGAUGCGAGCGUUAUCCGGAUGGAUUGGGUUUAAAGGAUGCGUAGGUGGUUAAUUAAGUCAGCUGUUAAAGUUAGUGGCUUAACCAUAAGAUUGCCGUUGAAACUGGUUGACUAGAGUAAAGUUGAGGUAGGCGGAAUGCGUGGUGUAGCGGUGAAAUGCAUAGAUAUCACGCAGAACACCGAUUGCGAAGGCAGCUUACUAAACUAUAACUGACACUGAGGCACGAAAGCGUGGGGAUCAAACAGGAUUAGAUACCCCAGUAGUC